AACGCAUAUUGCGCUCUUUGGUAUUCCGAAGAGCAUGCUUGUUUGAGUAUCAGUAAACACCUCAACCUCCUCUUGAUUUUUCAAAAGGAGGGUGGACUUGAGCUAUCCCAACGACCUUCACCGGUAGGCGGGCGGCUUGAAAUGCAGGUGCAGCUGGACUUUUAUCUGAGCUAAAAGCAUAUCUAUUUAGUCCUCGUCAAACAGGAUUAUUACUUUUGCUGCAGCUAACAUAAAGGAUAAUCGUCCUCUUUGCUGACUGAUGCAGGAUUUUACGACACUUUAUGUGUUGUUCAACUCGAUCUCAAAUCAAGUAAGACUACCCGCUGAACUUAA
rnacentral:misc_RNA from 1 species